rnacentral:rRNA from 2 species
UGGGGAAUAUUGCACAAUGGGCGAAAGCCUGAUGCAGCCAUGCCGCGUGUGUGAAGAAGGCUCUAGGGUUGUAAAGCACUUUCAGCGAGGAGGAAAGGUUAUAAGUUAAUACCUUAUAGCUGUGACGUUACUCGCAGAAGAAGCACCGGCUAACUCCGUGCCAGCAGCCGCGGUAAUACGGAGGGUGCGAGCGUUAAUCGGAAUUACUGGGCGUAAAGCGUGCGUAGGCGGCUGUCUAAGUUGGAUGUGAAAGCCCCGGGCUCAACCUGGGAACUGCAUCCAAAACUGGACAGCUAGAGUGCGGAAGAGGAGUGUGGAAUUUCCUGUGUAGCGGUGAAAUGCGUAGAUAUAGGAAGGAACACCAGUGGCGAAGGCGACACUCUGGUCUGACACUGACGCUGAGGUACGAAAGCGUGGGGAGCAAACAGG